UUGCUACAUCAGGUGUCCAUGCCUGGGUGCUGGCAGUGGGGGCCGCAGGGCUGAGCUCUGAGGUAACCGGUUGGAGCCGGUUGGAGCCGGCACCACAACUGCCCCACCACAGGGCACAGCCGAGCCCCUCAGCGAAGAUGGUGGCACCUCAGUGAUGAUGUGUUUAAGGAAGGGUAAAACCACCACGCAGGCAAAGGAGUGAGGGAGUCAGAGGAGAAUGAGGGUUCAAGGAGGAGGGAAAGGGAUCCUGUGGGAAGAGGCGGGAGCAGAAUUCAGGUCCAAGCUGUUCAACCCCACAGGCUGGAUUACAGUUGCCUCACAGGUUUGAGCUCUCUCUGGACAAAGCUUAGUGUGUGGACACACCAAGUCACUUCAAGCGGAGUUGUACAUGUGGUUCUGGUGGAUCCUCUAAGGCAGCAAGCUAGGUGAACACAAACUGUGGACUAGGUCCAGCAUAACAGCCUGUUACUAGGCUCCUUCGUGUUACACGUCAGCUGCCAUAGUCACCUGCAGCCAUUUGCAGUUCAGUAUCAUUUGUACGUUUCAGCGGCGCAUUAUUUCUUCUCUGUCUCUAGCUGCUGAAUAGGCUGGAUCAAACAGUAAUGCCUUUGGUAACCAAUUCAACAAGUUCCUCAUGCUCAAUAGACUAUUGUUUGUAAUAUCAGAGCCUUUGCUCUCAAUCUGUCAGCCUAACUUCAACCCACAUAGCAAUGUCAUUAAACAAGACAGAAGUUUUGGUACAAAGAAGUCUAGAAGUGUAAGAACAAAACACUUCCUCGCUGUAAGAGGUGCUUUGUAGCAAACUGAUAAUGCCACUAAAAAGCAUUUUUUGGUGUCCAAGAAAAAAUAAUAAACUUCCCAACCUUAAUCUCAUAAGCAAAGCUAACAAUUUUACAUACUGCCUUCAUACUGCUGUAAUCAUGGGAAAUAGAUUUAUUCUAAUUGUGAGAAUUAUAUUCCAAUAUGACAAGUUACACAGUGAAGUGCAUUAGA